GAAGCUGAAGCCUGGGAUAUUUAGUGAAAUGGAAACCGUGAACCAGAGGGUUGUGUGAGGCACUGCAAUCCUCUGCUGGAAUAGUCAGGCAACUGUGGAGAGUGCUCUGGCAGCAAAACCACUCCAGGCACCCAAGCUCCAGCCAGCUGGGGUUGCCCUCCCUAAGAAGUCCUGACUUAAAUAACGAUUUCAUGUCAUGCUAAGAAAGGCUUGCGAGCUCUUUUGCUGCAUUUCUGCUCUCUUGCUUUUUGCUCCAGGUCCCCUCCAGCCCUGGUGUGUGGCAGAGCCCCAGCAGUCUCAGUGAGAGGUGGGUGUGAGGCACACAGCACUCACACACAGAUGCAUUUAAGGCAACAUGUGCCAAGUGCCUGUGCCUUCUUAUGUGCCUGUGGCUGCUGGUUUCCAAGAGCCUGGAUGUGGAAGAUCCACAGCCCUUCCCACAGCUCUCACCCUGCAGCACAGCCAAAACCCUUUGCAUGUGGAGGGGCAGCUGGGAAGAGCCCCUGGCCAGGGGGGAGAGUGGAGGUCACUGCUGUGUGCUGAGGCUGUGAGAUCCAGGCUGCCACAGCCAGGUUUUUAGCAGUGAUCAUGUAACACGGAGCUGUGGGAGCCCCCAAUUUUUUUCUGUGGUGCCUUUGCCUCAGAUACCCCUCUUUGAGCCCUGCCUGCCUGUAAAUAUAGAAACAUAAGCCCUGGAGAUUUUUUUUCUCCAAACAUGUCCCUCCCAUCUCAGCAUCAUCUGUGCAAUUCCUCCAGCUGCUCCUAUACAUGGUAUGACCUUUUUUUUCCCCUUCCCUUGCUUCCCCCUCCAUCUCACCCCUUCCCCGCCCAUCCCUGCUCCCUUCCCUGCCCAGCACAGGGAGCCUGGGGCCAAUCAGCUCCUCCAGACGAUCAAAUGUCACUAUAAGUUGAGAGCUGCAUCACCUUGGGACGCUUGCAGAUCCCAGCCUGCCCGUCCCCUCUGACAGGGAGCUUGGUGCUUCUCUCCACUCCUCCCAGAAACUAAUCGCCAACAUGUCUGAUACCGAGGAAGUGGAACAAGGAGAG